rnacentral:misc_RNA from 1 species
CAAACUGUAUAAUAAAAUAUAUAAUAAAAAUGUCGAAUUUAGAUACGACGGAUAGUGAUGAUGAUCCGGUAGUUAAAGAGAUUCCAGUAUUUUUAUCCAAAACUCUUGAAAAUAAAUUAUUCAUCUUUCAAUAUCCUACACGUCCUGCUGAUCAAGGAUAUGAUGAUGCAACAUUUUUAAAUUCUUCUAUAAAACCAGAAAAUACAGAAGUCAAAUUAGAAAUAGCUUACGAUACAUAUAGUCCUACUUAUGAUAAAAUGAAAGGAAGACAAAUUGCUAUUAAUGCUGAUGGUAAUUCUAAUUUUGAUCAAGAAGACGACAACAAAAUUUUUGACAGCGAUCUAAUGGAUAAGAUGACUUUGCAUUCUACCCGUACAUUACCAGAGGCCACAAAUUAUGCAGCUGCUGUAUACCAAGAUGGUGAACUACAUAUAACUCCAAUUAAAAGUAUUGUUCAAUUAAGACCACAAUUUAAUUAUCUUGAUAAGAGUGAUAAACGUGCUAGAGAAGAAACUAAAGCUAAUGAUGAAGAUACUGAAGAAGAAGAUGAAGGACCUAAACAAGUUAGUGUAACAUUUGACAGACAAAAAACAGAUUUUGUUAAAAAGAUGCAGGAACAAUCUUUUCAAACGUUUACAAAAAUGAGUUCAGCAGAAAAAUGGAUACACACGAAAUAUGUUCCGGUCAAUAGUACACAAGCCGAUCUUACACGUUUGGAAAUGUUUUGUCCAUCGACCGAAGAAAGUAUCAAUUCAUUGGAUCUUACAAAUAAACAAUAUUUACAAUUUUUAGUGCCAUCUAAUAAUUCAGAACAAAGUGUCCAAAAUCGUUCCCUGUCUCUUGAUUAUAUUACAACAUUACCGCUUCCUGAUCAAGUCAAGAUUCAUGUUAGACAUAUAAAAGUGUUGUCGUUCGCAACGUUACGAUUGCUCAUAUUACCAGAACACGAUAAUGCAUCUAUAUUAAAAUAUUUGCAACAGAUAGCUAUGCUAGUGCAAGGAAACUGGAUUGUAAAUAGUGAUCUUAUUUAUAUUAAAGAAAGUGAAUCGUCUAUAAAUGGUAUACCAGCAGAUCUCAUGUGUAAGGCUAGAGAUUAUAUCUUAUUAUUGUUCACCGAACAAGAAUAUAUUGAUCGAAAGACUGUAUCAAACACCAUUAAAAUUCCUUUCCUGGAAAUAAACGAGAUAUUUUCAGACAUAGCUGUACAGAUACCAAAAAAGGGAUGGCGUUUACCAAUAUCACCAAAUACGGAUUUUCAAAAAAAAUAUCCAGAGAUAGUACAAAGGCAAGAAAUGUUGUGGGAGAUGAAACGAAAAAAAAUGCAUGAGUCAUUAUUGUCGCAAAAUCAAGUACCACAACGUCAAAGAAGAAGAUCUAAUAGAGAAUCGAUUGGUUCGGAGAAUGAAGAGAGAAACGUAGGUCGUGGAAAAAAGUUAAAAGAUUCAUCGUUUUCUGAAGACAUUGCGACAGAAACGGUUAAACAUAAGAAAGUGAAUAGAUCUAAAAAAGUAUCUGAAACUACAUGACCAAAAGCAUCGAAUGAUUAGGACAUAAAUAUAAAUGUAUAAUAGCAUUUAUUAUACAUUUAUCUACUACUAUAGUAAAGUAUAUAUUCUAGGUACUGUUAUUACAUCUACAAUAAUGAAUGAAUGAGAUCACAUUUAUACAAUUAUUGUGAUAUGUUUUUGUUUAACACACUGCCGUACCUCCAGUGCCAGUGGGCCUUCUCCGUGGUGUACUGGUUGUCCUUCUUGACAUUAAUUCAAGAAUUACAAUGUAAAUUCUCAAGACUAACCAGUUGAGCAGCACUUAGUGGGCCUAAGUUUCAUCAUGGACUACUGUCAUGUGUUAAGAAAGAAAACAAAAUAUAGAAAAAAAAAAAAAGAAAAAACUGCAGUGCGGUAAAUACAUUAGGAAAAAUAUUCAAAUCGCAUCAUUGAUACGACAAAUUGAGAAGUUGUUCAUUAGCGAGAUUCGUUAUGUUGAUGAAAAAAAA